rnacentral:rRNA from 1 species
GAUGAACGCUGGCGGCGUGCCUAAUACAUGCAAGUCGAGCGAACGGACGAGAAGCUUGCUUCUCUGAUGUUAGCGGCGGACGGGUGAGUAACACGUGGAUAACCUACCUAUAAGACUGGGAUAACUUCGGGAAACCGGAGCUAAUACCGGAUGAUAUUUUGAACCGCAUGGUUCAAAAGUGAAAGACGGUCUUGCUGUCACUUAUAGAUGGAUCCGCGCUGCACUAGCUAGUUGGUAAGGUAACGGCUUACCAAGGCAACGAUGCGUAGCCGACCUGAGAGGGUGAUCGGCCACACUGGAACUGAGACACGGUCCAGACUCCUACGGGAGGCAGCAGUAGGGAAUCUUCCGCAAUGGGCGAAAGCCUGACGGAGCAACGCCGCGUGAGUGAUGAAGGUCUUCGGAUCGUAAAACUCUGUUAUUAGGGAAGAACAUAUGUGUAAGUAACUGUGCACAUCUUGACGGUACCUAAUCAGAAAGCCACGGCUAACUACGUG